rnacentral:lncRNA from 1 species
GACUCUGAAUUAGGGGGAACAAAACUGACACUGCGUGAACAAAACACGACUGGACUAGAGACCUCACUGGGAAGUGAAUGACUCACACUGGGGAACAAAAGAUUUCCAAAGGACAACACAUCCAUUGGAAAGACACAAUCUGACUCAAACUAUCCUCCAAGGACACUUCGGAUGAAAAUCUGGACUCAGACCAGGAAAA